AUGAUGAUUUCUCUAUAUCAAUAUUUACACGGUUAGAACCUGAAUACAUGUGAAGAUUUAUCUAGGGCGGACUGAUGCU